rnacentral:rRNA from 1 species
AACGAACGCUGGCGGCACGCCUAACACAUGCAAGUCGAACGAGAUCUUCGGGUCUAGUGGCGCACGGGUGCGUAACGCGUGGGGAUCUGCCCUUUGGUUCGGAAUAACAGUUGGAAACGACUGCUAAUACCGGAUGAUGACGAAAGUCCAAAGAUUUAUCGCCAGAGGAUGAGCCCGCGUAGGAUUAGCUAGUUGGUGUGGUAAAGGCGCACCAAGGCGACGAUCCUUAGCUGGUCUGAGAGGAUGAUCAGCCACACUGGGACUGAGACACGGCCCAGACUCCUACGGGAGGCAGCAGUGGGGAAUAUUGGACAAUGGGCGAAAGCCUGAUCCAGCAAUGCCGCGUGAGUGAUGAAGGCCUUAGGGUUGUAAAGCUCUUUUACCCGGGAUGAUAAUGACAGUACCGGGAGAAUAAGCUCCGGCUAACUACGUGCCAGCCGCCGCAGUAA